rnacentral:rRNA from 1 species
UCGACUCUGUCGAAUAAAAUUCUAGUUAAGUUAUGAUAAUGACAUUUCUUAACUAUGUGUCUUGACCAAAUCACGUGCCAGCAGUCGCGGUAAUACGUGGAAGACUAGUGUUAUUCAUCUUUAACAGGUUUAAAGGGUACCUAGACGGCAAAUCAAGCCCCAAGGGGACUAAUUUACUAGAGUUUAAUAAGAGAGGGGGAGUACUGAUGAGUGGAGGGAUGAAAUAUUAUGAUACCAUUAGGAACAGACAAAGGCGAAAGCGACCUUUUACAUAAAACUGACGUUGAGGGACGAAGGCUUUAGUCGUGAACAGGAUUAGAUACCCAAGUAAUUAAAGCAGACAAUGAUGAAUGUCAUAGAUUAGUAAUUUUAUUAAUCUAUAAAUGAAAGUGUAAGCAUUCCACCUCAAGAGUAAUGUGGCAACGCAGAAACUGAAAUCAUUAGACCGUUUCUGAAACCAGUAGUGAAGUAUGUUGUUUAAUUAGAUAAUCCGCAAAAGACCUCACCACAAUUUGUAUAUUAUUUUUAUAAUAAUACAAGCGUUGCACGGCUGUCUUCAGUUAAUGUCGUGAGAUUAGGUUAGUUCCAUUAAAUUAACGUAAACCCUUGCUUUAUUUAUAUUAUAAAGUAGAUCACCGCUAUAUUGGAUGUGAUAAUAGGGACUAAGACAAGUCAUCAUGG